rnacentral:rRNA from 1 species
GGCUUAACACAUGCAAGUCGAGGGGCAGCAUGGUCUUAGCUUGCUAAGGCUGAUGGCGACCGGCGCACGGGUGAGUAACACGUAUCCAACCUGCCGUCUACUCUUGGCCAGCCUUCUGAAAGGAAGAUUAAUCCAGGAUGGGAUCAUGAGUUCACAUGUCCGCAUGAUUAAAGGUAUUUUCCGGUAGACGAUGGGGAUGCGUUCCAUUAGAUAGUAGGCGGGGUAACGGCCCACCUAGUCAACGAUGGAUAGGGGUUCUGAGAGGAAGGUCCCCCACAUUGGAACUGAGACACGGUCCAAACUCCUACGGGAGGCAGCAGUGAGGAAUAUUGGUCAAUGGGCGAUGGCCUGAACCAGCCAAGUAGCGUGAAGGAUGACUGCCCUAUGGGUUGUAAACUUCUUUUAUAAAGGAAUAAAGUCGGGUAUGCAUACCCGUUUGCAUGUACUUUAUGAAUAAGGAUCGGCUAACUCCGUGCCAGCAGCCGCGGUAAUACGGAGGAUCCGAGCGUUAUCCGGAUUUAUUGGGUUUAAAGGGAGCGUAGAUGGAUGUUUAAGUCAGUUGUGAAAGUUUGCGGCUCAACCGUAAAAUUGCAGUUGAUACUGGAUGUCUUGAGUGCAGUUGAGGCAGGCGGAAUUCGUGGUGUAGCGGUGAAAUGCUUAGAUAUCACGAAGAACUCCGAUUG